AUGGAUAAUAUUCUAGUAGCUUAUGAAUGUUUUCACACAAUCAAGAAUAAGAGAGAAGGGAGAGAAGGUCUGUGUGCUAUAAAACUUGAUAAGCACAAAGCUUAUGAUAGAGUAGAGUGGCCUUUUCUGAAAGUGAAUAUGUUGAGACUAGGUUCCCGUCAAGAAUGGGUGAACUUUAUUAUGCAAUGCGUCUCAACAAUUGAAUACAGAGUUAGGAUUAAUAUGGAGGAAAGUGAGAGUUUCAAGACUACAAGACGCUUGCGACAGGGUGACCCGUUGUCACCAUACCUUUUCUUGUUGUGUAAUGAAGGCUUGAAUGCCCUACUGACACAUGCUGAGGAAAAUGGAAAAAUCUCAGGUGUAAGAGUAUGUAGAGACGCCCCACCGAUAACAAACCUUCUUUUUGCGGAUGAUUCAUUGAUUCUUAUGAAAGCCAACAAACAAAGUGCAUAA
rnacentral:rRNA from 1 species